UACGAAGGGGACUAGCGUUGUUCGGAAUCACUGGGCGUAAAGCGCACGUAGGCGGAUUCGUAAGUCAGGGGUGAAAUCCCGGGGCUCAACCUCGGAACUGCCUUUGAUACUGCGGGUCUUGAGUCCGAUAGAGGUGGGUGGAAUUCCUGGUGUAGCGGUGAAAUGCGCAGAUAUCAGGAGGAACACCAGCGGCGAAGGCGGCGCUCUGGGCUGGAACUGACGCUGAGGAGCGAAAGCGUGGGGAGCGAACAGG
rnacentral:rRNA from 1 species